rnacentral:misc_RNA from 1 species
AAGUCGUAACAAGGUAUCCGUAGGUGAACCUGCGGAUGGAUCAUUACCGAGGUUAUUGGUUAAUUCCGAUGAACUCCCACUCUUGUUUAAAACCGCUCGUUGAGCAGCACCGUUCUUCGGAACACGUUUCUGGUUCUCCAGAACAACUUUAAAACUUUCAACAACGGAUCUCUUGGCUCUG